AUUGAACGCUGGCGGCAGGCCUAACACAUGCAAGUCGAGCGAGCGGCGGAUGGGUGAGUAAUGCCUGGGAAUUGCCCAGUCGAGGGUGAUAAAAGUUGGAAACGACUGCUAAUACCGCAUAUGAUUGGAUUGUCCAGGUGGGGUUAGCUAGUUGGUGGGGUAAUGGCUCACCAAGGCGACGAUCCAUAGCUGGUCUGAGCGGAUGAUAGGCAACACUGGAACUGAGAAACGGUCCAGACUCCUACGGGAGGCAGCAGUGGGGAAUAGUGCACAAUGGGGGAAACCCUGAUGCAGCCAGGCCGGGUGUGGGAAGAAGGCCUUCGGGUUUUAAAUCGUUUUCAGCGAGGAGGCGUUACUUGCAGAAGAAGCACCGGCUAACUCCGUGCCAGCCGCCGCGGUAAUAC
rnacentral:rRNA from 1 species